UACGUAGGGGGCAAGCGUUGUCCGGAAUCAUUGGGCGUAAAGAGCGUGUAGGCGGCCCGAUAAGUCCGCUCUGAAAGUCAGGGGCUCAACCCCUGAAUGCGGGUGGAUACUGCUGGGCUAGAGUCCGGAAGAGGCGAGUGGAAUUCCUGGUGUAGCGGUGAAAUGCGCAGAUAUCAGGAGGAACACCGAUGGCGAAGGCAGCUCGCUGGGACGGUACUGACGCUGAGGCGCGAAAGCGUGGGGAGCGAACAGG
rnacentral:rRNA from 1 species